rnacentral:rRNA from 1 species
AACGGAGGCGCUCAAAGGUUCUCUCAGUACGGUCGGAAAUCGUACGUAGAGUGUAAAGGCAAAAGAGAGCUUGAUUGCAAGACAUACAGGUCGAGCAAGGAUGAAAAUCGGACUUAGUGAUCCGGUGGUUCUGCGUGGAAGGGCCAUCGCUCAACGGAUAAAAGCUACCCUGGGGAUAACAGGCUUAUCUCCCCCAAGAGUCCACAUCGACGGGGAGGUUUGGCACCUCGAUGUCGGCUCAUCACAUCCUGGGGCUGUAGUAGGUCCCAAGGGUUGGGCUGUUCGCCCAUUAAAGUGGUACGCGAGCUGGGUUCAGAACGUCGUGAGACAGUUCGGUCCCUAUCCGUCGCAGGCGUAGGAAAUUUGAGAAGACCUGUCCUUAGUACGAGAGGACCGGGAUGGACGUACCUCUGGUGUACCAGUUGUCCUGCCAAGGGCAUGGCUGGGUAGCUAUGU